rnacentral:rRNA from 1 species
UUCAAGUGAGUGGCUAACGGGUGAGUAACACGUGGACAACCUGCCUCAAGGCUGGGGAUAACAUUUGGAAACAGAUGCUAAUACCGAAUAAAACUUAGUGUCGCAUGACACAAAGUUAAAAGGCGCUUCGGCGUCACCUAGAGAUGGAUCCGCGGUGCAUUAGUUAGUUGGUGGGGUAAAGGCCUGCCAAGACAAUGAUGCAUAGCCGAGUUGAGAGACUGAUCGGCCACAUUGGGACUGAGACACGGCCCAAACUCCUACGGGAGGCUGCAGUAGGGAAUCUUCCACAAUGGGCGAAAGCCUGAUGGAGCAACGCCGCGUGUGUGAUGAAGGCCUUCGGGUCGUAAAGCACUGUUGUAUGGGAAGAACAGCUAGAAUAGGAAAUGAUUUUAGUUUGACGGUACCAUACCAGAAAGGGACGGCUAAAUACGUGCCAGCAGCCGCGGUAAUACGUAUGUCCCGAGCGUUAUCCGGAUUUAUUGGGCGUAAAGCGAGCGCAGACGGUUUAUUAAGUCUGAUGUGAAAGCCCGGAGCUCAACUCCGGAAUGGCAUUGGAAACUGGUUAACUUGAGUGCAGUAGAGGUAAGUGGAACUCCAUGUGUAGCGGUGGAAUGCGUAGAUAUAUGGAAGAACACCAGUGGCGAAGGCGGCUUACUGGACUGCAACUGACGUUGAGGCUCGAAAGUGUGGGUAGCAAAC